UACGUAGGGUGCGAGCGUUGUCCGGAAUUAUUGGGCGUAAAGGGCUCGUAGGCGGUUUGUCGCGUCGGGAGUGAAAACCUCGGGCUUAACUCGGGGCUUGCUUUCGAUACGGGCAGACUGGAGGUAUGCAGGGGAGAACGGAAUUCCUGGUGUAGCGGUGAAAUGCGCAGAUAUCAGGAGGAACACCGGUGGCGAAGGCGGUUCUCUGGGCAUGACCUGACGCUGAGGAGCGAAAGCGUGGGUAGCAAACAGG
rnacentral:rRNA from 1 species